GGUGGUGAUUCCAAUGUUGGUUAUUGGAGUUGAGCUGUAAACUCAAUGGUAUCAUCCUUCAUAGGUUCAAUUCCUAUCACCAUCA
rnacentral:tRNA from 1 species